AGCGGCGGACGGGUGAGUAACACGUGGGUAACCUGCCCAAGAGACUGGGAUAACACCUGGAAACAGAUGCUAAUACCGGAUAACAACACUAGACGCAUGUCUAGAGUUUGAAAGAUGGUUCUGCUAUCACUCUUGGAUGGACCUGCGGUGCAUUAGCUAGUUGGUAAGGUAACGGCUUACCAAGGCAAUGAUGCAUAGCCAAGUUGAGAGACUGAUCGGCCACAUUGGGACUGAGACACGGCCCAAACUCCUACGGGAGGCAGCAGUAGGGAAUCUUCCACAAUGGACGAAAGUCUGAUGGAGCAACGCCGCGUGAGUGAAGAAGGGUUUCGGCUCGUAAAGCUCUGUUGGUAGUGAAGAAAGAUAGAGGUAGUAACUGGCCUUUAUUUGACGGUAAUUACUUAGAAAGUCACGGCUAACUACGUGCCAGCAGCCGCGGUAAUACGUAGGUGGCAAGCGUUGUCCGGAUUUAUUGGGCGUAAAGCGAGUGCAGGCGGUUCAAUAAGUCUGAUGUGAAAGCCUUCGGCUCAACCGGAGAAUUGCAUUAGAAACUGUUGAACUUGAGUGCAGAAGAGGAGAGUGGAACUCCAUGUGUAGCGGUGGAAUGCGUAGAUAUAUGGAAGAACACCAGUGGCGAAGGCGGCUCUCUGGUCUGCAACUGACGCUGAGGCUCGAAAGCAUGGGUAGCGAACAGGAUUAGAUACCCUGGUAGUCCAUGCCGUAAACGAUGAGUGCUAAGUGU
rnacentral:rRNA from 1 species